CCCACUGACCUGGGCUGCAUCUUCACUACAAACAAGAAACCUGGGUUUUGAAGUGACAGGUUGACAUUUGCAAGAAGGAGCACCAUCUGUGGCUCGUCGCGUUUGCAGUGUGCAUCGGGGUGGCGCCCACUGCACACCUCCCAGGACACCCUGUUUCUCCUCCACAGACAGCAUUUGGCCAGAUACGACAGGCCUUCGGGCAGGGGCAGGAAGAAUCUAUUGUUUGGCAGCGCCUCCAAAUUUACCUCCUCCAAAAAUUCCACUUGUUUUUGGUUCCUGCCUUGGCAGCAAAUUUUACUAGGAUGGGUACCAUAUGCUCUAGUGUUUCUGAAACCAUCCCAGUUUCUAACAUUUUGCUUGUCUCUGUAACCCAUUAAAAUACCCCAGAAAUUCCAAUAUUAUAGCAUACAAACAACAUCUAUCAGACAGCUUUUCAACCCUAUGAACUAUAGCCCACCAGGCUCCU
ensembl:lncRNA